GACGAACGCUGGCGGCGCGCCUAACACAUGCAAGUCGAACGAGAGAUGAGGAGCUUGCUCUUCAGAUCGAGUGGCGAACGGGUGAGUAACGCGUGAGGAACCUGCCUCAAAGAGGGGGACAACAGUUGGAAACGACUGCUAAUACCGCAUAAGCCCACGGCUCGGCAUCGAGCAGAGGGAAAAGGAGCAAUCCGCUUUGAGAUGGCCUCGCGUCCGAUUAGCUAGUUGGUGAGGUAACGGCCCACCAAGGCAACGAUCGGUAGCCGGACUGAGAGGUUGAACGGCCACAUUGGGACUGAGACACGGUCCAAACUCCUACGGGAGGCAGCAGUGGGGAAUAUUGCACAAUGGGGGAAACCCUGAUGCAGCGACGCCGCGUGGAGGAAGAAGGUCUUCGGAUUGUAAACUCCUGUUGUUGAGGAAGAUAAUGACGGUACUCAACAAGGAAGUGACGGCUAACUACGUGCCAGCAGCCGCGGU
rnacentral:rRNA from 1 species